AAAGAACUGAAGAACUGAUUUGUUAAUCCAACUUAAAAGCUUCAAUUGAAAAGCUCCAUCGAGUAGUUAUUCCAGCUGCUGUGGAUUCCACCCAACAGGAAGCUAUUCUGCUCUUGAAGAAACUAAAGGAUUGUUAUCAUGAACUAAUUUUUGAACCAACAAUGCAUGGCGUGCUGUGUUAACUAUGAUUCUCAUUGUGCUCUUGAGAAACAUUUUAGAGAUGGUGCCAAGCUGAAAUGCCUUCGCGGAGGCUGGCCUUGUACGAAGCAAGAUAUCUAUCAAGUUUAGUAUUCAGAACGAAACUGUUAAUUAUCUUCCUGAAAGUUUUAUUUAUCGGUUUGAUCUCUUGAACUGGAAAGCAUAACUGGAUUAUUAUCGAUACGUGGGAUAUAAGAAAAGUCCAGAUGUCCAGGAAGAAAAUUAAUUUAAUGGAUGUGAAGGCAAUCAGUUAUGAUGCAUCAGUGGCUCUUUUCAUGGACUUGGAAGCUGGCGACAACAGUGUGCUGAGAAAAGUUUUUGGGGAGAGUCGGCGAUUUCAACCAGAGAAACCUGCAACGAUAGCCCAAGCAGCUGUUGCAUUAACUAGUGGCACUGGAGAUGGUACUUUACAUGCAUGGAGCAUGUACAUGCUAAAUGAGGUGGCAUGCUGGAAUAGCCAGAUAGGUGUAGCUACUUGCUUGAAGUGGGCGCCUCGUAGAGCCAUGUUUGUAGCUGCUUCCUCGGUUCUAACGUCUUGGAUUCCUGACAACACAAAGUCUUCUCUACACUUGGGCAACGCAGAACCUGAUGCAAGAAUAUGAAACUAGAUGUAGCUUUGCUUUAUCAUGGUGGUUUGUGUUAUGUUAUAUGUGAAUGCAUAGGGACUUCACACAAGGUCAGUUGAAGCAGUAGUAGCCAGCCGGGGAAAUAUCAAUCCUUGUUAAGUACUUCACUUGGUUAAAUUUUGUACUAUUAAGUUUAAAUUUGUGGAUUUGACACUCAGUUUAUACUUACGAGGUAUUGCGCUGGUAGGAAGUGAACUGCAGUUGGGUUGGCAUCAGAUGGACUGACGAUAAUUUUUAUGAGAAGCUUCUAGUAUCUGGUCUCAAAGUGGAUGGGCUAGAAUGAGAAUCUUGUUUCCAACCUUUUCCAGUGGAUUGCCUACUGCCUACAUCGAGUUUUUUGAUGCCCAAGCUUUCAACAAACCAAGCCUGCAAAGGAUAUAUAGCUUAGUUGUGGUUAAUCGAAUGAUGCUCUAUUUGAUCAGAAAGGGUGGAAAACAUAACAGCUUCAAGAUUUGUAAGUUACAGUUAUUCAAGUUUUGUAGGCAGUUAGUAAGUUUCUGUUUUCCAUUAGAAAUUUGGAACCUUCCCUGUAUUCCCUUAGAAAUCUGAUACUUAACAAAAACAAAAAAAUUGGUGCUUAGAGAAAUUUCAGUAAAAUUUGGUACUUACAAAAAUUUCAAUUAUUUUUUUAUAUGAAUGUGAUAUGAAUAGAUUGUUGAGUGUGGAUGAUGAAUGUAUUGAGA